rnacentral:rRNA from 1 species
GAUGAACGCUGGCGGCGUGCUUAACACAUGCAAGUCGAACGGAAAGGCCAGUGCUUGCACUGGUACUCGAGUGGCGAACGGGUGAGUAACACGUGGGUGAUCUGCCCUGCACUUCGGGAUAAGCCUGGGAAACUGGGUCUAAUACCGGAUAGGACAAUGGUUUGGAUGCCGUUGUGGAAAGUUUUUUCGGUGUGGGAUGAGCUCGCGGCCUAUCAGCUUGUUGGUGGGGUAAUGGCCUACCAAGGCGUCGACGGGUAGCCGGCCUGAGAGGGUGUACGGCCACAUUGGGACUGAGAUACGGCCCAGACUCCGACGGGAGGCAGCAGUGGGGAAUAUUGCACAAUGGGCGCAAGCCUGAUGCAGCGACGCCGCGUGGGGGAUGACGGCCUUCGGGUUGUAAACUCCUGUCGCUAGGGACGAAGCGUAUUUGUGACGGUACCUGGAGAAGAAGCACCGGCUAACUACGUG